UUUUUUGUGCUUCUUUUCCGACUUCACGUCCUGCGCCUCCAUCAUCAUCGCAACACAGCACGUGAAGAGAAGAGCGCUUGCGCGUUCCCACGCUCUUCUGCCUGCGUUCCUUGUCUUCUUGCGCCCGCCUCUGCCUCCCCUCAGCGAGGCAGGUCGCGCAUCCAAAGAGCGUCUUCGCUGCUUGCCUAGUUUUGCCUUGGUGCGCGCAUGACGUCGCGGGAGCGCGUCACGCAGGCGCGGCACGUGAUGCUGCUGUCCAAUGAUGCACCGGUUUUGAAUCGAUGCGCUAAGGAGGAAGCCCACCUCAAGCAUCGCCUCGCUCAGUCGACUGCCGCCUUCGCGCUUACGGUGCAGAAAAGUCACGCCGCCGCCGCUCGUGAGGAGCGCUCCCGCGAAUCGCGGCUGCAGGCGCAGUUCACAGCGCUGCUCUCCGGCACACCCGGAGUAGUGAUGCCGCCCUUCGUCACGCCCUCGCCCACAGAAGGCUUCACGAAUGCUUCAGAGCGUGCCAGCGGCUAUGCAGCAACAGGAGCGAAUAACCGGUCUGUGCCCGAUCACACCACCUGCACUGACGCGACUCUUCUAUCAUCGCUAGGGCUGAAAUCGAGCAGCACUGUGGCUGCCGAUGGGAGCGCCACGCCUGCCGCGUCUCUGCCAUGUGCGCUGGGCUUCCCGGAAGCCUACGAGUCGAGCGGCUUCAAGUCAGCGAUUCACUGGGCCUCCGUGGCGCACGACGAAACUUUUCUCACCGCGUACGGCCCUCGCCGAAUUCGCAAAGAGGCCCAGACCAGAGCCAUCGCAGGCGCAGGAGGCUCGCCGGCCGCGCGCGAGGCGAUGCCACACAGACUCAUGACCUCUGUCGCGUGCUACCUUCUCAACCAGGUGCUCUGCGCCGAUGCAGCGGUGUCGGAGCUGUGGCGCGAAAAGCUGCGCCAACCGAUCUUCGACGCCAUCUUCAGCUCUCAGUCCAUUGCGAUGGGGCACGAACGGAGUGGUGCGCAACGUAGCGGCAGCCUCGGGGAUGCUGCUGUGACGAACGCCAUCGUGCACAGAACGCUCGGGCCUGCCUCCUCUCUCCUGUCAGGCACUGCGACCCACUCCGAUCCGACGAUGUCGUUUCCGCCUCGCACCAACGAGUACGCCACGCGCCACGACUUUGCGUCGCUUCGACUUUGGACAGAGGAGGUGACGUUAGAGCACCUGGAGAAGACGUCCGUGUGCCAACGCGUUCGUAAUCUUCAGAACGCCAUGGCACGUCGUCAAAUAGCCGUUCACCUCUUCCAGCGGCGCGCACACCAGGCAGAGCUACAAGCCGUCUUCACGGUGUGGCGCACCUACACGCAGCAGCGCCGCGCGAGUCGCAUUGCCCUUGAACGCUACUUGGUGAAGCGGAACCACCGCCAUGUGGUGGAGACUGUUUUCCUGCGCUGGCGCCGCUUCUCUCUUCGUUCCAAGGUCGAGGCGGUGCAGCGACGCCUGCUGAACAUCGCGGCAGAUCGCGACUGCGCCGCGCGCAAGCACGCCACCGCGUUGCACGGGUUACAAGACCAACUCGCCAGCGAGCGUCGCCAGCACGUGCAGGAGACCUUUGAGCGAGACACACUGCACGCGCAGAUGCUGGAAAGUCACGCUGUGGAGAUCGAGGCGCUGCAGCUGAUGCUUCAGAUGGAGCGGUUGAAGACGGCGCAGUCCGGCAAGUGGGCGAUGCGGUGGGAACGCGUUGCGAAGACGUUUCGUCCCGCGAAGCCCUGCCCGGCGGUGCCGCGCCCCAUCUGGACGCUUGCUCGUACCCUGCUAAGCGCCGAGGAGGAAUUGGCCGCCACGAUACUGAAGCGCAGCCGAGAUGAGCGAGUGCUGUUGCAGAUCCCAUACUCGAUGAUACUGCAGGCGCGGCGGCGGUUGGAGCAGCUGCUGCUGGCGUGGGUGAAUGUAAUCAUGGAGGCGUCGCCGCAGGCAUCCACGUGGGUCACUGUCGAGGCCUUCACGCAGGGCCGCAGCUCCCACCCGCGCGGCAUAUUGCUUUCGCAUAAGCAGCCGUCGUCAAGGAAGGCCGCCGCUCGGCGCUCUGGCGCGACAGCCGGUGCCGUAGCAGCAGGCAAAGAUGACUCGACGUGCGAGUUCAGCAUUUACACACUCAUGUGCCUCGUGCGGGAGCUACGCCGAUGCUACGCGAAGGCUGGGCUGAUCGAAGAGGCGGAAGACUGGGGCACGUCCGACAGCGUCAGCGUGGCCGACUGCUACCAGGAGCUGACACAUCUCUUCGCGGCCCAGUCGUGCGGCGGCCUCUACCCGCCACUGCUAGUUCACUGCCCCACCUCGCCGUUCUGGUUCACGCCCGAAGGCGUCUUUGGUGGGCCGGUGUCACACCUGGAGGGGUCGAAACGGCAGAAGCGAGAGCAGCACACCACCUUCACCUGGCUGCUGGCCUCGCUCCUCGUGGGACACAUCCAGAUUAUGCGUAUGUUGCCUCUCGCUGACAUGGGAGUCCCGCCGGGGCGGCUGCCGAUGAAGGGCGCGGCGACGCUGCGAUGCAAGCACGAGGCGGAGGUGACGAAGCUGGCUCGAAUCAGCUUCCCGAGGCGGUGCGGCGCGCCACCAGCUGGCUCGACCGCGGCACCUCGGGGCACUUCAGUGGUGGCAUCGAGCACGUUGCUGCCAAAGAAGCGAUCUGUUGCUUUGCCGGCGGCAUCGUCCUCGCGGCGCGCCGCCGCGAAGGCUUCCAUGGCUUCUGCCGCCGCUGCCGGGGACGUCGAGGGCGCGGGCGUCGCCACCACGGAGAUGACCCUGGAGGCGUUGCUGCGAGCACGCUUCAAAGCGACGCAUGACAGCACCAGCAGUGACAGUAGGAGGGCAUUGGCAGGAAAGGACCUCAUAGAUGCAGCGGAGGACUCCUUGUCCGACAUUGAGGUGUUUCUCGGCAUGGUGCCUGCACAACUGCAAUCACUCAAGGGAGGGACGGGCGCGAACGGCACCGACGAUGAGGACGAGGACGAGGACGGCAGCGACGACGACGACGAGGAUCGGUGGAUCAACGGACUGCUCCGCCGGCUUUUCGAAGCCCAGGAUGCAGAGGCGCAGCAGCGUCGCACCAAACGUCUGCAAGGCAGCGAGUUUCUCAAGGACGGCGCAGAGGAUGGGCACGCACGGUCGGCAGCGGCCGCGCCCGCGUCUGCGCUUGGCGACAACGAAGAGGGCGAGGGUGGCUCGAGGGACAAUGACGCCGCCGCUGCCGCGGACACUGCGAGCACCAUUUAUGGCGACCUCCUGAAGAGUACCGUCGUUCUCACAGGAGAUCAGCUGCGGCUGCUGCGCUCCCUGCCGGGUCGCAGCCAUGCGUUUGACACGCUCCGCCCCAUUGCCAUUGCUCAGCCGGAGGCUGCUUCAGUGGUAGUAGGGCUCUCGAAGGACCACUCCAGCACUGCAAGUUACGCCUCUGCGGCCCCUCUCUACUCGUUCCUGCUCAACACCCUGGACGACACAGUGGCUCGGCAGCAGUGGAGUGGGCUGGCGCGCGUCGUGACGUCGCUGGUGGUGCGCUUUCAUGUGCUUGACGAGUCCGAGGACGCCGUGCGACAGGCUGCAGUGCUGACGCCGGAGGAGGAGGAAUCUGAGGAGCUGAGAAGCGGGAGUGUGUCACGGCGAAGCCCGGCGGAGCGCGCUGGGGGCUCGCCCCCCCUUUCGACCACUCGACUGCCUCCAGUUUCUGUAGGCUGCGCCCCUUCCGUGGCUGCAGAGGGCAAAGGCGGCGACGGCGCUGCAGUCAUGGCAAGCCCAAGGAGUGGUGGCCGAAUUGCCGCGCAACUGGUGCCUGCGGCGCCACCGCAGCGGCCCCAGCCGCCGCCGUUUCCGUCGACGACUCACGGGGCGCAGCGGCGUCUACCCAGAGCACACAGCCCCCCAUGCGUGAGCACGGCUUUGGACACAGGAGCGGCAUUGUCGCAGAGAGCGGCAGAGCCUGGCGUGCCCGUUCUCUCGAGACCUAAACCGUUUGACGUGCAAGGCGCAACCGCAACCGCAACCGCAGCGCAGCCGCCGGCCACAGCUGUCACUUCCAUGACGCUGGGCGAGGAACUGCGCCGCCGCGGGGCCUACCAAACGAACUCCGCACGGAAAAGCUUCAGCUUCAGCUCGCCGAUAGAUUUAUCCGCGCAAGGAGCUCAAUCACCUGAACCGAGUAGCUCCGCCGCUCCUCCGAUCAGCAUUGAGGCAUCAGAGCCGAUGGCACCGCCGCCGUCCGAGGAGGUACACACACCAGUGAUCCCCGCCGCGGCCCUGUUUCCUUCGCAGGGGGAUUGACACGGUGUGGAGGAGUGCACGACGGAAUCGGCUGAGUACAGUGCACAAAUGACAUCAAAGGAUGGCAAUGCCUUUCGUCCGCCCAUGACGGCAAACGCCGGUGCCACAGCCGGUACCGCCUACGGGAUUCGAACCGACGCCUCUGCUGAGGUGCUGGCGGGGCGAACAAGGUGCUGGCGGGGCGAACAAGGCGCUGGACAUGCAGCCUUGCAGAUUUCCGUGCUCCCGUCGCCCGCAUGGUCGUAUGGGACGGCGCAGUGGCCUUCGGAAUGCAUGCCAGAAGAAUAUCCGGCUGCACUGGUGCACGCCAGCGGUGCAUUUCGGAGGCCCACGCGCACGCCUCCACACUUCCGCCGUCUAAGCUGUCGCGGUUGUCCCCUCACCCCCUGUUAUCGUUGACCCCUUCCAUGCUCUCCACGCCAAUCUCAAGCAGGUUUCUGCCGCCGGUGUCCUGGCGUGCGAGACACUAAACACCAGCGAUGGCCCUAUCCUCCGCGAAGGUCAGUUUCCUGGCAAUCGGGAACAUGUUGUCGCUGCGGCGGGCAUUGCCCGUGGCCAAUGCCUUUUCCUUGUUACAUCCAAACAAAUACUGCUUGACCGCCACGGGUACCUACUCCAUCCCGCAGCGAAACUCCACCCUGCAGACCCCGCGACCUUCGACUCUCCCGGCAGCGGCACCUGUCUUGGGGUGUUCUUCAGACCCCAUGACGGCGCCGUAGCAUCCCUAAAACUCGCUGCGCCCACUUGUUCGCGCCAAUCCGCCGCAGUAGUCAGGUUUCGGGGCGAGACGCAAACACCGCUUCCAAAGGAAAGCCGCGAGCAGUGUGACGCCGCGUGCGUCCACCACCUGCUCUGCACCUUUCGCUUCCCCUGUGUCCAAGUCCAGCCAAUUUACGGCGUCGCCAAACCGUCUUUCUUUUUGUGUUCGCUGCGUGUGUGCUGCGUCAUUGAACCUUUUCUCCCCGAGACCUUCACGUUGCUCACCACGAGAUCACCACUUCUGCUUCUCUCCUUUUUUUUUAUUCGCUGACUUUCCCAUGCCCAGCCGAUGUACCGUGUCUGUUUGUGUUUCUCUCUCUAGGCGCACUUGGUUGUCACUCACCCCCCCCCGCCUCUUGUUGCCCCCUCCACCCUCCGCCCUCGCUUUCCUCCCUUCACACACGCGCGCGCUCUCAGCGCCUUUGGAUGUACGACAGAAGUGUUUUCCUUGGAACUACACGAUGCACGCAUCAGUGAUGAGUCGGUGACUCUUUCUCGUUUCUCAGCAGUAUGCUGCCAAUGCUGCUGCCGCGUCCGUACUCUAGUCUCCAUUCGCUGUUUACCUGCCCCCCUUUUUCUACCCACAUGCAGCGAAAUGCUAGCGUAUGAAAACGCUCUCAUGAGCAAGGGCGUGAAACGGACCGACACCGAGAACCGUGGCGUCUACAAGAUGCAAAGAGAUGCCUGACCCACUAUCCAUCGUGCCACGGGAAAGCCAAUGCUGGAUGCACACGGUAGGAGUGCGCUUAGCGUGAUAGGGCGAUAGGGCGCGAUGACGUGCGUUGCAACGACCGCACCCGACUCGCUCUGUCGCCGCCACGUGAUGCCCCUCACUUCUCUUCUUGCUUCCAAGCCCCUUCCCCCUUCGCCGUCUGAGUCAUCGACACCGACGGCCUUCCGCCACCAUCUGUCGGCCACGUGAUCUCUGCGUGCUUCUCUUUCCGUUCUCUCUCUCACUCGCUCGUUCUUUCGUUACCUUUUCACGCAUGUCCUCGGUGGGCUUCACCCUGUUUUUUUUCUGUUGUUGUUGUUGUUGCCUCACCUCUGAUUCCCACCUAG
rnacentral:misc_RNA from 1 species